rnacentral:rRNA from 1 species
ACCCGCUGAACUUAAGCAUAUCAAUAAGCGGAGGAAAAGAAACUAACAAGGAUUCCCCUAGUAACUGCGAGUGAAGCGGGAAAAGCUCAAAUUUAAAAUCUGGCGGUCUCUGGCCGUCCGAGUUGUAAUCUAGAGAAGUGUUAUCCGCGCUGGACCGUGUACAAGUCUCCUGGAAUGGAGCGUCAUAGAGGGUGAGAAUCCCGUCUUUGACACGGACUGCCAGGGCUUUGUGAUGCGCUCUCAAAGAGUCGAGUUGUUUGGGAAUGCAGCUCAAAAUGGGUGGUAAAUUCCAUCUAAAGCUAAAUAUUGGCGAGAGACCGAUAGCGAACAAGUACCGUGAGGGAAAGAUGAAAAGAACUUUGGAAAGAGAGUUAAACAGUACGUGAAAUUGCUGAAAGGGAAACGCUUGAAGUCAGUCGCGUUGGCCGGGGAUCAACCUUGCUUUUGCUGGGUGUACUUUCCGGUUGACGGGUCAGCAUCAAUUUUGACCGUUGGAUAAAGUCUGAGGGAAUGUGGCAUCUUCGGAUGUGUUAUAGCCCUUGGUCGCAUACAACGAUUGGGAUUGAGGAACUCAGCACGCCGAAAGGCCGGGUACUUGUACUACGUUCGUGCUUAGGAUGCUGGCAUAAUGGCUUUAAUCGACCCGUCUUGAAACACGG